CGGAAUCUCAAGUUCGGUAUGCUUUUAAAAGAGGCCGCUGGUGAGUCGCACCGUUCAAUGCGGAAACCCCAACAACUGCAAAAUGGAAGCCAACUGCUCGAGCUGCCGACGCACACGGUGGUUUGAUCUGAUCGAGUUCCCUGUCAGCGCUAUCAUUUUAAGCACCGCAGAUUUGAUUCAUCAUUGCGAGAGCGGUGUUCGAGUGAAGUAUACGACACGUAACUCCAACAGCAGGAGCUUGGCCACAGCAACAUGUCCGUUUCUGACUGCGUCCAUGAAUGGAGUCACUCCACAGCUGUCAGCAGUGUCAGGUGUGUAGUCACAUCUGGACGAGAAAAAAAUGACUUAUUUUAUUAACGACUAGGAAAAGCUGAAUUCUAGCACCAUCUUAAACGGCUUAGCUGAACUGUAUCUCAAAUGGCAUACCAUGAUAACUUCAUUUUCAACAUUACUAAGGCAAGUUUAUUUGACAUAUGGAAAUUGUGUAUUCUUAACCUGAUCUACUUUUGUACUUGUUCAGUUAAGAAAAUGUAGGAGAAUGUAAUUUAAUGCCCAGAAUGUAACUUUAAGUGCGGGGAGAAUGUUGAUGCUUAAGUAGUAAA